UCAUUCGGGGUGCUAGGCCGCAUGGGCGGCUUGGCUGAGAUAAAACCCGUUGAACCAAUCAGGGUAAUGCCUGCGGAGGGAAGAUGACA
rnacentral:ncRNA from 1 species